ACCCAGCUGCUGCUGAAGGGUGGAAAGUGAAAUUCUUGCAUCCAGAUGGAGGGGUGGGCCCACAUCGACCACUUUGCCAGAGCUUUCUGCAGCACUGCUCCAUAUAAGCUGAGGCCUUUAAACAUUCUGCUUGUCGAAGCCAAACUGCAAGGUGGUACCUUUCAGAGCAGACUAGUGUGAAAUCAUAUUCACCAACAUCCAGAAAAGCUUCAGCAAAAUCUAGAUAUAGGUCUCCUAUAUCGUCAGGAUUCUGUUCCACCAGCGUAGUCAAGAGAGGAUUAAGUGGUUCAAGGAUGUGGUUGAGAUGUACAAGACAGACCAACAGUUUCACUGUGAUACCUACUGGAGCGCCAUCAGGUAUAGUGCAGGAACUUGAGGAAGAGCAACCUGAGGAAAGGUCCCAGCCAUCUCAGGAGCCGCAGGUACCGCAGCCACCACCACCGCAACCACCACUGUUUCAGCAACUGCCAGUGGCACCAAAGCUACCCCAGAUCAGCCACCAAGCUGGAGGGCAAUCCAGUGAAGUCCAAAAGGAGCUGAAAACCCUCCCCAGCCCUGACCCAGAAACUUCUAAGCUGAUUUGCCUACUGUCUCUCCCUCUUCUCAGUCAACAAAUUACAAACAGCAGUGGUGAACCAGAGAUAGACUCCAAGACAAUCAGCAAGCCAGAUGAGCAACCACCCCUUCUCACCCUCCAGCAACAUCUCUACUCCAAAACCCAUCACCCCUCACUCUAGAAAGGAUAGCCAGGAAUAAAAUGUGAUUUCUUUCUGGAAAGAACCAAGA
rnacentral:lncRNA from 1 species